rnacentral:rRNA from 1 species
CAACCUACGGGACGCAGCAGUGGGGGAUAUUGCACAAUGGGGGAAACCCUGAUGCAGCGACGCCGCGUGGGCGAAGAAGUAUUUCGGUAUGUAAAGCCCUAUCAGCAGGGAAGAAGAAAUGACGGUACCUGAGUAAGAAGCACCGGCUAAAUACGUGCCAGCAGCCGCGGUAAUAUGUAGGGGGCAAGCGUUAUCCGGAUUUACUGGGUGUAAAGGGAGCGUAGACGGCCAGACAAGUCAGAAGUGAAAGCCCAGGGCUCAACCCUGGGACUGCUUUUGAAACUGCCGGGCUGGAGUGCAGGAGG